rnacentral:rRNA from 1 species
GAUGAACGCUGGCGGCAUGCCUAAUACAUGCAAGUCGGACGAGGAUGUUUCUACAUCCUAGUGGCGAACGGGUGAGUAACACGUAGGGAACCUGCCCCUAAGACGAGGAUAACUACUGGAAACGGUAGCUAAUACUGGAUAGGAUAAGUUGACGCAUGUUGGCUUAUUUAAAGGUGCCUAUAAAGCACCGCUUAGGGAUGGCCCUGCGGCGCAUUAGCUAGUUGGUGGGGUAACGGCCUGCCAAGGCGACGAUGCGUAGCUGUGCUGAGAGGCAGAACAGCCACACUGGGACUGAGACACGGCCCAGACUCCUACGGGAGGCAGCAGUAGGGAAUUUUCGGCAAUGGGGGAACCCUGACCGAGCGAUGCCGCGUGAGUGAUGAAGGUCUUCGGACUGUAAAACUCUGUUAUUAGGGAAGAAUACUAUAGGGAGGAAAGUGCCUUAUAGAUGACGGUACCUAAUGAGGAAGCCCCGGCCAACUAUGUGCCAGCACG